CGGAGCACCGUCGACCGACCUUGAUCUUGUUGAGAAGGGUUCGAGUGAGAGCAUGCCUGUUGGGACCCGAAAGAUGGUGAACUAUGCCUGAGCAGGGCGAAGCCAGAGGAAACUCUGGUGGAGGCCCGUCGCGRUACUGACGUGCRAAUCGUUCGUCUGACUUGGGUAUAGGGGCGAAAGACUAAUCGAACCAUCUAGUAUGGCGGUGGACGGCAACGUGAGGGAGUCCGGAGAGGCCGGCGAGGGCCCUGGGAAGAGUUAUCUUUUCUUUUUAACAGCCUGCCSRSSCUGAAAUCGGCUSAACCGGAGAUAGGGUCCAGCGGCUGGAAGAGACASGUCUGCGGUGUCCGGUGCCCUCGGCGGCCCCUGAAAAUUCGGAGAACGGGGGAGGGCUUUCCCUAGGCAACGAACAACCAGCUCAGAACUGGCUCGGACAAGGGGAAUCCGACUGUUUAAUUAAAACAAAGCAUUGCGAUGGU
rnacentral:rRNA from 1 species